UCCCUUCUUAUCUCCUCCCCGGUUCAUCUCUACAUGAUGUUGUUAUGUGAAAAAUGAAAUUACCAAAUAAUGUUUGUGAAUGUAGAUAUGCCUCCUUGCUACUAUCACCUGAUUGCUGUUGCAUUCAGUUGGAAUGAAGUUAUGACUAUUGCUUCGGAUCAGAUUCACAAACAUUUGUAGAUUGGAUUCAGUUGGAAUGAAGUUACAUAUUGUUCCUAUCUGAGCUAAGCAUAUAAUUAGGUACUAUUUAUCAACAAAUUACUAAUUAGCAGAGGGUGAAUGGGGGGUGACGAUGAACAAGUGCUAAAGUGCAACUAUCAUCUUGUUGUGUGAUAUGCAUGUCGUCCCUUCACUAGGUAGCUCACACACUUUAACACUUAUGAUCACUCGUACAACGUCAUUCAACCCUCUUUCUCAUGCCCUUCUUGUUUCUUUCAGUCACCUGCUUAGUUACCAUAGUUUAGGCUCACACACUAGCAACAUCCUUUCGUUUCUUUUAGCCACACACCUUGCAUUUGUCCCUUUAUAUCUCUUGCAUUUGGGUGCCGGCUGGAGCAUGGCGCAGGUCCGGUAACCAACAAACGCUACAUCAAGAGAACCGAGAAAUCAUGCUCUAGCAGGAAGAGCAACCAACCCACCAUGAAGGAUGGCAUGACCUAGGAGAACCACUUGGAGUUGUUCCUUAUCCCAGUGCCAGACAACAGCAGGCACCACCAUCCUCCUUGUCAUGGUAUGGAUGCUUGCCACUUGCUACCCUCGUCCAAUCUCGUUACUUGUGUGACAAGGUUACAAUUCAAGAGUUCAACCUGACUACCCAUACACACGGAAAUAUUGUGCAUCGUACAUGCAACAACAUUAGUGACUGCCUUUCCAAAACUAGAAUGCAAAGGCCACCUUUACUUAGGGCAAGGACUAUGAGUGUCGACAAAAAAGGUGAUGGCUCAUCACUGGUAGGUGGAUAAGAGUCAUGAUAGCCUAGGGAAGAAGUCAGAGUUGAAAGUUGUGUGAAAACUCAUACUGGGAUUGCCAACACGAAGCAGGCCUUGUUGUUAUGGAUCUCUUGAGGAGGCCAAGGCAAGUAUGAGUUGUUGUUAUGGAUCUCUUGAGGCUGCAGAGGCAAGUACGAGUUGGCCGAGCUUAUGUACUACUAGUACUAAAGCUUAUGUAUUCUCUUCUUUCAAGUUUCAUACAGUUCAAUUCCUCUCUUGACGUGUUUGUGUUCGAAGAUGUAUUCCUCUCUCUGGUGUUUGUAUUCGUGAAUCUACAAAUGACAUCUCUCAGUUCAUCGGUUCUCAUUCUAGUAGGUAUAUAUAUAUGUCUUGUUGAAUCAAGAGAUUGGAUCAGUUUGCUCUAACAUCUAAAUGGUAUUGAAAGAGUACUGCAGUGUUUGCGUGUCUUUGACUGAUUAUUAAUGCAUUGGAGUAUAUGAGCACACAAAAAAAUAGCAUCGCAGUUGUUCUCACUCGAUUUGAGAUAAUAGCGCGACCUGUAUGUAUUUAUGGGCAGCUCAUAUCCCAUGGCUGCACUUGGUUCUGAUCAUGGAAACUUUGUUUCCGCAACACAAGUAAUGUGACGACCCAUAUUUGCCUCAUGCUAGUUUUCGACAUGUCCUACCUCAGUCUACGGAAAAGAACGGACUGGAAGGAUAUGGCCAUAGGGUGGGGUUGUUACCAAGCGCAGAUGUUGUGAGUGACCAUGGUAAAUGCAAGCACAUCGGGAGAGAACUAAUUGCCUCAUGUUUGGCUCAUCACACUCUCACCAGGAUGUGAAAACAGCAGUACUGUUCUCCACAGUCCCAUGAAUGAUGAAUCCAUGUAGUACAUGACUAUUUAAAUUAGUGGUGCACGCAUGUAAUGCCAAGUGAAGUAUGGCGAGUCAGGUGGAUGAGUAUGUAAAAAAAAUGCAAAUAUUGAGCAAUUCAUAAUAGACCAACUCGGUAAAUAAAGUACUACAAUUCUACAAAGGUCACAGCAUUGAGAACCCCC
rnacentral:lncRNA from 1 species